rnacentral:rRNA from 1 species
AACGAACGCUGGCGGCAUGCCUAACACAUGCAAGUCGAACGAGAUCUUCGGGUCUAGUGGCGCACGGGUGCGUAACGCGUGGGAAUCUGCCCUUUGGUUCGGAAUAACAGUUGGAAACGACUGCUAAUACCGGAUGAUGACGAAAGUCCAAAGAUUUAUCGCCAGAGGAUGAGCCCGCGUAGGAUUAGCUAGUUGGUGUGGCAAAGGCGCACCAAGGCGACGAUCCUUAGCUGGUCUGAGAGGAUGAUCAGCCACACUGGGACUGAGACACGGCCCAGACUCCUACGGGAGGCAGCAGUGGGGAAUAUUGGACAAUGGGCGAAAGCCUGAUCCAGCAAUGCCGCGUGAGUGAUGAAGGCCUUAGGGUUGUAAAGCUCUUUUACCCUGGAUGAUGAUGACAGUACCGAGAGAAUAAGCUCCAGCUAACUCCGUGCCAGCCGCCGCUGUAA